rnacentral:rRNA from 1 species
UACGUAGGGGGGCAAGCGUUGUCCGGAUUUAUUGGGCGUUAAAGAGCGUGUAGGCGGUUAGGUAGGUCCGUUGUGAAAACUCGAGGCUCAACCUCGAGACGCCGAUGGAAACCAUCUGACUAGAGUCCGGAAGAGGAGAGUGGAAUUCCUGGUGUAGCGGUGAAAUGCGCAGAUAUCAGGAAGAACACCCGUGGCUAAGGCGGCUCUCUAGUACGUGACUGACGCUGAGACGCGAAAGCGUGGGGAGCGAACAGG